rnacentral:rRNA from 1 species
UACGAAGGGGGCGAGCGUUGUUCGGAUUUACUGGGCGUAAAGGGCGCGUAGGCGGCUUUCCUUGUCGCGUGUGAAAGCCCCGGGCUCAACCUGGGAAUUGCGCGCGAAACGGGGGGGCUUGAGUUCGGGAGAGGAGCGUGGAAUUCCCAGUGUAGAGGUGAAAUUCGUAGAUAUUGGGAAGAACACCGGUGGCGAAGGCGGCGCUCUGGACCGAGACUGACGCUGAGGCGCGAAAGCGUGGGGAGCAAACAGG